rnacentral:rRNA from 1 species
UACAGAGGUCCCAAGCGUUGUUCGGAUUCAUUGGGCGUAAAGGGUGUGUAGGUGGCGCCGUAAGUCGGGUGUGAAAUUUCGGAGCUUAACUCCGAAACUGCAUUCGAUACUGCGGUGCUUGAGGACUGGAGAGGAGACUGGAAUUCAUGGUGUAGCAGUGAAAUGCGUAGAGAUCAUGAGGAAGACCAGUGGCGAAGGCGGGUCUCUGGACAGUACCUGACACUGAGGCACGAAGGCCAGGGGAGCAAACGGG